rnacentral:rRNA from 1 species
UACGUAGGGGGCAAGCGUUGUCCGGAUUUAUUGGGCGUAAAGAGCGUGUAGGCGGCCAGAUAGGUCCGUUGUGAAAACUGGAGGCUUAACCUCCAGCUGUCGAUGGAAACCAUCUGGCUAGAGUCCGGAAGAGGAGAGUGGAAUUCCUGGUGUAGCGGUGAAAUGCGCAGAUAUCAGGAAGAACACCGGUGGCGAAGGCGGGUCUCUGGGCCGAUAUUGACGCUGAGGAGCGAAAGCGUGGGGAGCGAACAGG